CCAGACUCCUACGGGAGGCAGCAGUGGGGAAUAUUGGACAAUGGGCGCAAGCCUGAUCCAGCCAUACCGCGUGGGUGAAGAAGGCCUUCGGGUUGUAAAGCCCUUUUGUUGGGAAAGAAAUCCAGCCGGCUAAUACCUGGUUGGGAUGACGGUACCCAAAGAAUAAGCACCGGCUAACUUCGUGCCAGCAGCCGCGGUAAUACGAAGGGUGCAAGCGUUACUCGGAAUUACUGGGCGUAGAGCGUGCGUAGGUGGUUAUUUAAGUCCGUUGUGAAAGCCCUGGGCUCAACCUGGGAACUGCAGUGGAUACUGGAUGACUAGAAUGUGGUAGAGGGUAGCGGAAUUCCUGGUGUAGCAGUGAAAUGCGUAGAGAUCAGGAGGAACAUCCAUGGCGAAGGCAGCUACCUGGACCAACAUUGACACUGAGGCACGAAAGCGUGGGGAGCAAACAGGAUUAGAUACCCUGGUAGUCCACGCCCUAAGCGAUGCGAACUGGAUGUUGGGUGCAAUUUGGCACACAGUAUCGAAGCUAACGCGUUAAGUUCGCCGCCUGGGGAGUACGGUCGCAAGACUGAAACUCAAAGGAAUUGACGGGGGCCCGCACCAG
rnacentral:rRNA from 1 species